rnacentral:rRNA from 1 species
UACAGAGGGGGCAAGCGUUAUUCGGAAUUAUUGGGCGUAAAGGGCGCGUAGGCGGUUUCUUAAGUCGGAUGUGCAAUCCCCGGGCUCAACCUGGGAACUGCAUCCGAGACUGGGAGGCUAGAGUGCUGGAGAGGGUGGUGGAAUUCCUCGUGUAGCGGUGAAAUGCGUAGAGAUGAGGAGGAACACCAGUGGCGAAGGCGGCCACCUGGACAGUAACUGACGCUGAGGCGCGAAAGCGUGGGUAGCAAAC